rnacentral:rRNA from 1 species
UACGUAGGGUGCGAGCGUUAAUCGGAAUUACUGGGCGUAAAGCGUGCGUAGGUGGUUCGUUGUGUCUGUGGUGAAAGCCCCGGGCUUAACCUGGGAAUGGCCAUGGAAACUGGCGAGCUGGAGUCUGGCAGAGGGGGGUGGAAUUCCGCGUGUAGCAGUGAAAUGCGUAGAGAUGCGGAGGAACACCGAUGGCGAAGGCAGCCCCCUGGGCUAAGACUGACGCUGAGGCACGAAAGCGUGGGGAGCCAAACAGG